CUCCCAAAGAGUAACGGAGGAGCUCGAAGGUACGCUCAGCGCGGUCGGACAUCGCGCACUGUGUGCAAAGGCAUAAGCGUGCUUGACUGCAAGAUCGACGGAUCAAGCAGGUACGAAAGUAGGACUUAGUGAUCCGGUGGUUCUGUAUGGAAGGGCCAUCGCUCAACGGAUAAAAGGUACUCCGGGGAUAACAGGCUGAUACUGCCCAAGAGUUCAUAUCGACGGCAGUGUUUGGCACCUCGAUGUCGGCUCAUCACAUCCUGGGGCUGUAGCCGGUCCCAAGGGUAUGGCUGUUCGCCAUUUAAAGUGGUACGCGAGCUGGGUUCAGAACGUCGUGAGACAGUUCGGUCCCUAUCUGUCGUGGGCGUUGGAGAUUUGAGAGGGGCUGCUCCUAGUACGAGAGGACCGGAGUGGACGAUCCCCUGGUGUUCCGGUUGUCACGCCAGUGGCACUGCCGGGUAGCUACGAUCGGAAGCGAUAACCGCUGAAAGCAUCUAAGCGGGAAGCGCGCCUCAAGAUGAGAUCUCCCGGGGCACAAGCCCCCUAAAGGCACCAUGAAGACUACGUGGUUGAUAGGUCAGGUGUGUAUCGCAGUAAUGCCGAGCUAACUGAUACUAAUGAGCCGUGCGGCUUGACCAU
rnacentral:rRNA from 1 species